rnacentral:snoRNA from 1 species
UCCGGUGAUGAUACUGCCUGAAUAGGAAGUGCCGUCUGAUGCGAUAACUGACGAUUUCAGGAGCGGUUCUGAGG